rnacentral:rRNA from 1 species
UACGGGGGGAGCAAGCGUUGUUCGGAUUUACUGGGCGUAAAGGGCGCGUAGGCGGCACGGCAAGUCGGGAGUGAAAGGCCUGGGCUCAACCGAGGAACUGCUUUCGAGACUGCCGAGCUAGAGUGCGGAAGGGGCAACUGGAAUUCCCAGUGUAGCGGUGAAAUGCGUAGAUAUUGGGAAGAACACCUGAGGCGAAGGCGGGUUGCUGGGCCGACACUGACGCUGAGGCGCGAAAGCCAGGGGAGCAAACGGGG